rnacentral:lncRNA from 1 species
CCGAGCUCCCCAAGCUCCACGCCUCCUUCCCCUCUAUCCAGAAUCCACGCUCCUGCCCUCCAUCGUCCCCCGUGGCUAGCUAGGGUUUCGGUAGCCACUUCAUCUCUGACCUAUUUCGAUAGCCAUAGUUAUCUCUUGUAGCACCACGCCGCCGCCACUCGCCUUGCAAGGUACGUUCCUCCAACCCGCCGCCGGCCCCGACGACGAUCGACCGGAGAAGCCGCGCCGCUACGGGGUCAUGGAGAUGAGGAGCCCCUGCUACUCCUUUCGCCCGCCCGCCACGCACUCCAGGUACUACGACCGCC